rnacentral:rRNA from 1 species
GACGAAGGGGGCUAGCGUUGUUCGGAAUUACUGGGCGUAAAGCGCGUGUAGGCGGUUGCCCAAGUCGGGUGUGAAAGCCUUGAGCUCAACUCAAGAAAUGCACUCGGUACUGGGUGACUAGAGGACCGGAGAGGAUAGUGGAAUUCCCAGUGGAGCGGUGAAAUGUGUUGAUAUCGGAAGGAACGCCGGUGGCGAAAGCGACACACUGGAUCUUGUCUGACGCUGAGGCACGAAAGCCAGGGGAGCGAACGGG